GGCUGAGCAGUGGAGCGGGAAAGGGCGCGGGACCCGGGACUGUAACCGCCACUUCCAGGCCCUCGCUCCCCGCGCUUGGAGCCCUCAAGGGCACUCUCAGGGAUCCUCGAGAGCCUUAAAACAGAAGUCUCUGGAACCUGUGUCCUCUCCCUGUCUGUCCCGCCCUCGAAUCCCUGUGUCCUCCUCACCCGCUCCCUCCUGCAUCGUCUCUGCCUUGAACCUUGGAAACAAGUGCUUUCAACAUAAGCGAUGUGAAGGCAUUAAAACAUGUUGAAUGGCUGUGUGCACAGGAUAUCCUACACCUGCCUGACAUCUGGAAUGCAGGUGAAGCAACCUGACCUGAUGGAGCCACCCACACUUUAGAAGAAUCUCAAAUACAGCCAACCCUGAUCUUCCUCAGCUGAAAAUCAUCCAUCUACCAAACUCACAAAUUAAACAUAACGUAAAUAUUAUUACGUUAUGCCUUGUGUUGUGGUGUUAGGCAUGCACAGAUCUGGGUUUAUCCCCUUGUGCUAGACAGUAAGUCACUUGGUUUGAGUCUGUCUGUUUCAGUGACCCUUUUCUCUAAAGCAUUUAGUUAACAUGAUGGCUGACAUCAGCGAGAACUCAGUAAAUGUGGAUUAAAUGAGAAAAUUCAAAAGAAUGAUUACUUACCUUUUUAAAGUUAUCAAUGAAUUCUAUACAAAUAACAACUUAAAGGUCACUAUGUUUCCAGGAAGUUUGGGUGGAGAGCAGAGGAUUGGUUUUCUAGACAGAGAACUUGUUAGACUGAAACAAAUCUUUCUGUGGAAAGUGUUGGGUUGCUGGCCUGAAUCCUGGCUGCUAUAGGGUCCCUGCCUCUUUCUUGGGCCCCUGACCUUAGAAGAAUCUUCCUUCAGAUAAGAAGAGGAGGCAGCUCCAAGUUUACGGCAAACCACCAGCCUCACACACCACUCCCAACCCACCCUUUUUCCAGACUUUAAAACAUCCCAGAAAAGGAUCAUGGUUGCUCCAGCCUGGACCAUGAGCUGCUGAGCAGUCGCUGAAAAUCCCUUCAACAAAAUGACAUAGCUGAUGUGAGUAAAUAGUAAUUCCUUGAAGGAAGAGAAAUUCUAUUUCCAGGGGAAUGACUGCUUGACAGAUAAAAAGAGACACAAGUAUCCCCACAUCUUGGAAUUUGACCUCUAGCCGCCACAAUUGACUAUAUUUGUCAUCACCUUCUUCUUGUCCAGCUGAACUCCUAAACCUGCCACCCCACCCCUAGCUAAGCUAAUAACAUGAAACUGUGCCCCAAAAGAUAGUGAAUAUUUACUGAAAUGCAAAACCAAGAGUUAUAAACUAUAGCCACAGACAAGACUUCUUAAAUGCAGGAAGUUUUGAAUAAGUGGGCACAAGUUAAUACAAUCAAAGAAAAACAAUAUUUGAUAUUUUGGACAUGAGCCCAAUGUGCUGGCGUAUAUGUGUGUGUGAGUGGGCAGGUGGAUGGGGGAAAUCUCACUAAUGAUGGGUGUCAUCAGGAAAGAAAAUCCAAAAACAAAACUACCAUUCAUUUGUACAAUUAACAAUUAGAAAGUGACAAAUGUUUAAUAAUACACUUGGAGUGAUACAUGGUUGUACCUGACCUCAGAAAACUCAUGGCACAACUAAGAAGACAGAGACAUAGACAUAAACAUGUCACAUAGCUUGAGUUCUAGUUGGAGGAUUAAAAGUAUUAUACAAGUACAGAGAUCUAAGAGUUCUGCAGAAGAAAGAUGAUGUUUUAUAAGAAAGUUCCUCGGAGUGGGUCAUUUGAGCUGGGAUUUGAAGGCUAAAUAGGAGUAUGUCAGGUGUGCUUCAUAUCAGCAACUAACAAAAUCAAAGAGACAGAGAAACUGCUGUAGUUGUUAAAGUGACCCCAUCUCUACAAAAACUACAAAAGUUAUCCACGGGUGGUGACACACCCCUGUGGUCCCAGCUACUUAGGGGUGCUGAGGUGGGAGGAUGACUUGAGCCCAGGAGGUUGAGUGUUCAGUGAGCUGUGAUUGUACCACUGCACUCCAGCCUGAGUGACAGAGUGAGACCCUGUGUCAAAGAAAAAAAAAAAAAAA
rnacentral:lncRNA from 10 species